rnacentral:rRNA from 1 species
GACGAACGCUGGCGGCGUGCUUAACACAUGCAAGUCGAACGGAAAGGCCCUGCUUUUGUGGGGUGCUCGAGUGGCGAACGGGUGAGUAACACGUGAGUAACCUGCCCUUGACUUUGGGAUAACUUCAGGAAACUGGGGCUAAUACCGGAUAGGAGCUCCUGCUGCAUGGUGGGGGUUGGAAAGUUUCGGCGGUUGGGGAUGGACUCGCGGCUUAUCAGCUUGUUGGUGGGGUAGUGGCUUACCAAGGCUUUGACGGGUAGCCGGCCUGAGAGGGUGACCGGCCACAUUGGGACUGAGAUACGGCCAAGACUCCUCCGGGAGGAAGCAGUGGGGAAUAUUGCACAAUGGGCGGAAGCCUGAUGCAGCAACGCCGCGUGCGGGAUGACGGCCUUCGGGUUGUAACCCGCUUUAGCAUGUGACGAAGCGUGAGUGACGGUAAUGGGUAAAGAAGCACCGGCUAACUACGUG